UGGCUCAGAGGGUAAAGCGUCUGCCUACAAUGCAGAAGACCUGGGUUCAAUCCCUG
rnacentral:tRNA from 1 species